UUCGAAUUUGCAUAUUAAAACUCGUAUAAUAAAUAAACUGAGCUGAACUAACUUAUAAAAGAUCCGAGAUGAGCGAGAUUUCUCAUUUUGACACCCCAAUACCAUAUCAACGUUUCAUAAAUUCUAUAUUCCACAUUCCUCUUUAUUCCCACGUCUAUAGAUGUCAAUUGGGCGGGCCGGGCGGAUUUGGGCGUGUCCGAACGGGCUUUAUUUUUUUGCUGGACAUAUUUGGUCGAAGCCCAAAUAGAACCAUGUCCAAAUGAGACCAAAACCAAAUAAGACCAUGAUUUAUUACAUUUGUUGGGCAGUCCAUGGGCCUAUACGACCACUUAAUGUAAACAAUACAAUUUUUCAGUUUUAAAAAGUAAAAUUCAUACAAGUUCUAAAUUUCAUGUUCUAGACUUUAUAAAAACACACAAGUUCACAAAAGAUAAAUUGCGUUUUCUAUUUUGGCAAGAAAUUGUGUUUUUCCGGUUUUUGCGAGAAAUUAUGUUUCGGUUUUACGGAAAAUAGUGUUUUCUGGUUUUUGCGGAAAAUUGUGUUUUCAGUUUUAGCAAAAAAUUACGUUUUUUUUUUCUGGUUUUGGCAGGAAAUUGCGUUUUCCGGUUUUGGCGGGAAAUUGAAUUAUUCAGUUUUGGUGGGAAAUUGGGUUUUUCAGUUUUGGUAGAAAUUGAUUUUUCCGGUUUUGGCGGGAAAUUGUAUUUUUCGGUUAUGGCGGAAAAUUUAAUUUUUCGGUUUUGGCGGGAAUUUUGAUUUUUCGAUUUUAGCGGAAAUUUGUAUUUUUCGGUUUUGGCUGAAAUUACGCUUUUCCGGUUUUGGCAGACAACUAUAUUUUUUUCCGGCUUUGGCGGAAAAUUAUGUUUUUCAGUUUUGGCAGAAAUUAUGUUUUCCAUAACAAAAAUCACACAUAAACAGUUAUAAAUCAAACCUUUAGGCUUCAGGAAAAUGUCGAAAAAAAUAUUGAGUUUUUCCCAAUUUGCUAAACCUAGACAUUUUAGAUUUUUGAGCUGCCCAUUGUCCAAAUGGUUAAGUCCAAUAUUGUCCAUGAUAUAAUUGGGUUUGUCCAUGUGGACAAAAAUUUAGUUACGGACCAAAAUGGACCUGCCCAUUUUAGACCAUAUCAAUUUGGACACGAGCCGCCCAUUUCUAUCCCGCCCAUUUGACAUCUCUACACGUCGUACAGCAACAGUAAUGCAAAGACUUCAUGUAUUAGAGCAUCAUUAUUGGUGGGCAAGUGAAAAGUCCCUAAUCUUUUUUUUUUUUUGUCAUAAAAACAUAAAGGCAACAUAAGGAUAUCCUGGAUAUCCCUUAUAUAGGGGUUUUCCCUCUUUCUUCUUCUUGGUCCUCUCUUUUUCUCCUUUAAGGGCUGCCUUAAGGGCAGACCAAUGAUGGUCUUACAUACAACCUGUGUUAACGUUUGUUUACUACGUAUAUAAAUUCUUUUAACUGAUCCCAGAAUUAUUUUUUAUUCAUUUCCUCUUUUUUCUGUAUAAUCUAUAACACUACUAAAAGGAGAAUAUAAAGCUCUCUAAGAGUAUCCACGUAGGAAAAUUAAAUCAACCUAUCAUAGCAUUGAAUUAGGCCACGUCACACACAUUUCCGAGCUAUACACAAAAAGCCCAAGCCAGGUAUAAGACCAUUUGGUUAAUGUUUAGUUAUAUAACCCAUUUUGAACAAAAGGUCUGAUGUUUUAUUUGGCAAUCGACCAAAGCUCUAACGUUUUAUAUUUUAGUCGAGGAAAGUGUGCCGUUUUUAUUGGUUUGAUUAGGUUUUCUUCUUCUUCUUCUUCUUCGUCCCUUCAAUCUGACCAUCCCUGCUGUUUUUCCUAAGCUUGUGAAAAGACGAGUCUUUAUGACUUUUUACCUUCAACUCUUUUAAUGUCUGUCAAUUCUUAAAUUUUAUAAUAAAGGAUUUUUUUCAUUAAAACCAUUUACAAUCUCAAACUCUCCGUCUCCCUUCGGAUACAAUGAAACCGAAAAAUUAAUUCAACCCCUAUAAACUAAAGAGGGUCGAUAGCAGGAUGGAUCUUCACAGACACUCUCAGUUUAUCUUCUAUCUUCAAUCGGAGAGGGAGCUUGACGAACAAGUAUGAUUGAUUCUCUUCAAUUUCCUUCUUACGAAGCCCAAAGAGAUCUAUGGAGUAGCUGAUCUGCGUGUAACCAUUUGUUUCUCGCACAGCUCUGUUCUUCUUCUAUCUUGACCACAUAUGCACCCUAUAAAACCCUUACAUUUGUUGGUUUGAGUAAUGGGAAUUGAAGGAGAGAGUGGAGGGAUACAAGAUAUUGCUUUUAUGAUGAGCGUUGAUGAGAAAGAUGAUGAUUUCAGAGACAAAGAUGAAGUUACUAUCGGUCGAAUGAAGAAUCGGGAAAGACAACGCAGGCAACAAGCUGGAAACUUGAGGAUUCAGCUUUUUUUAUAUUGGAGGAGAAUUCUUCCUUCUGGUUCACACACUGAUGAGCCAACGGUAGACUAUCCCAUGGCUGCACAGUCUUGGGAUAUAAAAUUUUAAAUAAUAUAAAAUUUUAAAAUAUUAAAUAUAGAAUGUUUGAAAUUUUAAUAAAAAGUUAGACAUGAUUACUAAAAGACUAAUAAAAACUUGAAUUGUGUCUAAUAAAUAAAUAUACAUCUUACUAAAUGAUUAAUAAAAAAAGCUUUAUAUAUUGAAUACAACUUAAUGAUAUUUCAAAAAAGAAUAUUUCAUUCUCAUUUGUCAAAUAUUAUAUCAAAACAAAUAAAUGAUAUAAUAUAACAUAAUAAAAAGUUAAUUAAUUUUAAAAUAUUUGUUAUUUAAAUUUAUAUUUAACAUUUAAAAUAUAUAAAUUGCGGUUAACCCUCUAGUUGAAUUAAAAUUGUAAAAUUCGUGACCAGGAGCAAUUUGCACGUUUGGGAUUAUUUCUGUGACGAAAUUUCUUUAGUUAAUUAUUCCCUCACCGACCAUUAAAUAUCGUUUAGUUAAUAAAACUGAUUGGUGCGUAAGACAAAUUUCAAUUUAGAGGGGGUUAUUGGUUUAAGAAUUCUAAAGGAGUUAUAAAAUUUUGGGAAUCCAUUAUUAUUGGUUUAUAGAUUUUAAAAGUCUUAUUAAAAUCCAUUGUUAUUGGUUUGAAGACUUUUAAAUUCCAUUCAAAUCCUUUGUUAUUCAUAAAGUUUAGUUAUUAUAGAUUCUACUGAUCUAUUAAAUUCUAUUCUUAUUGGAAGGUGGAUUCCUUUUAUUUUUACUCAUAAGACUAGACUUUGAAAAUAUCAUCUAUACUCAUAAGAUUUAUGAAAUCUGUGUAAUAAAAAAAACAUACACAUAUGCAUCAUAUUUGUCUACGUAAACCAACUCACACUAUCUCAUGUGAUUUAUAGUUAUAAGAUUAUUAUCUUUUUUUAUAGUUACAUAUUUGAUAGACAAACACACCAAACAUAACUCACAUGAUCUGUAAUUCAUUAUAUUUUUUUAUAGUUUCAUAUUUGACAAAACAACCGUUUUAUUCGAAAAUGGUGAAGAAAUCAAACUCAUACGACAACUAGAAUAAUGUUUUAAAAAAUCGCAAAAGUCAAAGAAAAAAAAAACUGAUUAUUAUCAUAAGAAAAGUAACACAAGUACCAUAAAAUUUAUGUAUCAUAAGAAAACUAACACAAGUACCAUAAAAUUUAUGGAUCAUAAGAAAACUAAAACUAAAACAAAACUGAUUAUUAUCAUAAGAAAACUAACACAAUAAUAAUACACAAAUCUAUGUAUAUGGUCAACAAUGGUGGCUGAUGAAUAUACAAAGACCUAAAAACUAAUGGUCAGAAGAAAUAGAUACCUGUGUGGAGGCUGCACACGAGAUGGAAAAGGAGAUAUGUGUAUCAUUAUGUCAAUUGAUGUUUAUAUAUAUGGUUCACAUUGAAAAUUUAUUUUUGGAAAAGUUCUAGAGAGAUCAUUGUACAUUGCCUUAUAAGGAGAAAUAUUUUGAAAAAUAUAUUAUGCAAAUCCAUAUUGAUUAAUAAAAUCUACAGAGAUCAAUACAAAGUUUGUGAUGGAAAUUUGUUAACUCUACUUAACUUUCAAAAAUCUGUCAAUUUUUAAAAUCACUAAACUCCUUCCAAAUUCUGAUUUCAAUAACCCCCUCUUAGUUUUAGUUUAAGCAUUAAAUUAAGUUUGGUUGUUUUUUUUCUCCAUCCCUCGACAUAAUGUAGAA